UACGGAGGGGGCGAGCGUUAUUCGGAAUUAUUGGGCGUAAAGGGCGCGUAGGCGGCCCGGUAAGUCAAAGGUGAAAUCCCUCGGCUCAACUGAGGAACUGCCUUUGAAACUGUCGGGCUUGAGGCCGGGAGGGGGUAGCGGAAUUCCCAGUGCAGCGGUGAAAUGCGUAGAUAUUGGGAGGAACACCGGUGGCGAAGGCGGCUACCUGGACCGGUUCUGACGCUGAUGCGCGAAAGCGUGGGUAGCAAACAGG
rnacentral:rRNA from 1 species